rnacentral:rRNA from 1 species
CCUACGGGUGGCAGCAGUAGGGAAUCUUUCACAAUGGGCGAAAGCCUGAUGGAGCAACGCCGCGUGCAGGAAGAAGGCUUUCGGGUUGUAAACUUCUUUUAUCAGGGACGAAGCAAGUGACGGUACCUCUUGAAUAAGCCACGGCUAACUACGUGCCAGCAGCCGCGGUAAUACGGAGGUGGCAAGCGUUGUCCGGAUUUACUGGGUGUAAAGGGCGUGCAGGCGGGAAGACAAGUCAGAUGUGAAAUCCCGCGGCUCAACCGCGGAACUGCAUUUGAAACUGUUUUUCUUGAGUACCGGAGAGGUCAUCGGAAUUCCUUGUGUAGCGGUGAAAUGCGUAGAUAUAAGGAAGAACACCAGUGGCGAAGGCGGAUGACUGGACGGCAACUGACGGUGAGGCGCGAAAGUGUGGGGAGCAAACAGGAUUAGAUACCCUUGUAGUC